rnacentral:rRNA from 1 species
AAGCGGAGGAAAAGAAACUAACUAGGAUUCCUUAGUAACGGCGAGUGAACCGGGAUGAGCUCAAAUUUGAAAUCUGGCGUCUUUCAGGCGUCCGAGUUGUAAUCUAUAGAGGCGUUUUCCGCGCCGGACCGCGUCCAAGUCUCUUGGAAUAGAGUAUCAAAGAGGGUGACAAUCCCGUACUUGACGCGACAACCGGUGCUCUGUGAUACGUUCUCAAUGAGUCGAGUUGUUUGGGAAUGCAGCUCUAAAUGGGUGGUAAAUUCCAUCUAAGGCUAAAUAUUGGCGAGAGACCGAUAGCGAACAAGUACCGUGAGGGAAAGAUGAAAAGCACUUUGGAAAGAGAGUUAAACAGCACGUGAAAUUGUUAAAAGGGAAACGAUUGAAGUCAGUCGUGUGGGAAGUAUUCAGCCGUCUCUGGCGGUGUAUUUGCUUCUCACGGGUCAACAUCAGUUUGAUCCGGUAGAAAAAGGCGGGAAGAAGGUGGCACCCUCGGGUGUGUUAUAGCUUCCUGUCAUAUGUGCCGGACCAGACUGAGGAACGCAGCUUGCAGCAAUGCCGGGGUUCGCCCACGUACAAGCUUAGGAUGUUCACAUAAUGGCUUAAACGACCCGUCUUG